rnacentral:lncRNA from 1 species
AGAGGAACUGGCGUAGCGUCCUGGUAGACAUGCUGCAGCCCCGCCGUCCCCGGCUUCUCCGUGAGGUCCCCGGGACUCCUCGCCACCACCUGGCACUGGCCCCCGGCUGCCUGCUCCUGGAGUCGCGCGGGGCCCCCUCUCCGUCCCUGCCCAACCCGCGGAGGCUUACCUCACUCUCUCUUCGGGUUGCAUUCGCCAUAAGAGAGCCGGUAGACCCCUGAAAUCCCGGGACCGCCUCCCACGCAAAACGUGAGACAAACAAAAGGAAAGGCGGAAACGCAGAAACGCAGAGGUAGCCAGUGGAUGAGGCAUGCGCAGAGCCCACGCUCAAAGCCUGGCGCUGUUGGCGCCCAACCUGGAAACUACCUUUCCCGUGAGGACGCGAGAGCAGCCCUUCGGGAUUGGCAGAGAGGUGCCCCGCUAGGCAGUGGACAGAUGCGGUCUGAGUUGGUGUGGGAACUGCCCGCAGCCCUGGCUCUCCCGGGGCGACCCAAAGGGAUGCACUGCAGGGGAGGUCUGUGUGCAGCAAGUGUGCAGUGUAUUGUGUACUUUACAAAAGCAUUGUCAACUUUAUCCAGAG